ensembl:snoRNA U8 U8 small nucleolar RNA
UCGUCAGGUGGGAGAAUCCUUUCUUACGUGUUCUUCCUUUUGCAGGGCAGAUUAGAACAUGAUGAUUGGGGUUCACAUGAUAUGUGAUUAACGUUUCUGUGUAAUCAGGACUUGUAACACCCCAAAUGCUCCUAUCUGAC